rnacentral:rRNA from 1 species
CACAAGCGGUGGAGCAUGUGGUUUAAUUCGACGCAACGCGAAAACCUUACCUGGGCUUGACAUGGAGAGAAUCUCCUGGAAACAGGAGAGUGCCUCGCAAGAGGAGCUCUCACACAGGUGCUGCAUGGCUGUCGUCAGCUCGUGCCGUGAGGUGUUGGGUUAAGUCCCGCAACGAGCGCAACCCCCAUCCCCAGCUGCCAUCAUUAAGUUGGGCACUCUGAGGAAACUGCCCGGGUUAACCGGGAGGAAGGCGGGGAUGACGUCAAGUCCUCAUGGCCCUUAUGUCCAGGGCUACACACGUGUUACAAUGGCUGAAACAAAGGGCAGCGAAGCAGUGAUGUGGAGCGAAACCCAAAAAAGCAGUCUCAGUUCGGAUUGAAGUCUGCAACUCGACUUCAUGAAGUCGGAAUCGCUAGUAAUCGCGGAUCAGAACGCCGCGGUGAAUACGUUCUCGGGGUUU